rnacentral:lncRNA from 1 species
GGCCAAUCUCAGGGCAAACCGCUUUAAGGCUGUAUCGGAGAUAUCGAACGCCGCCAUCGAUUCGGUCGCGAGGGAAUAACCCACAACGCACCGAGACCGCGGCGGGGUGAGGCCGCCAACCCCUCAGCUCCGCGCCCCGCCGCCCCUCCCCGAGCCGCGGCCUAGCGGGGCCGGAGGGGCGGGGGCAGAGCGAGGCAGGAGAGCGGCGCGCGCGGGCUCCGCGAGGGAGGGCCCAGCCACGAGCCGACACCGGGAGCGCGCGGGGACCGAGCGUGAGUCACCGCUACGGCCGGCGGAGGAGGGAGGCGCUGAGCCGCGGCUUCGCGCUUCAAAUGGCGCCGGGGAGAGGGCUUAAGAUGGGGGCGGGCGGGAGAAAGCGGUGAGAGGCCCCGCGGGGCGAACGGCCGGAGGGAGGCGGGCGCCGGCGGGAACCACGCGGAUCCCCGGGGCUGCGGGCGACGCCGCGGCCGCCCCUCCCGUGCCUCGCCGCCGGGACUCACCUUCCGCUCCGCGCCCAGCCCGCACCGCAGCCGCCUCCGGACGCGGUGCUCCCCGCGGGGGAAGGGGUGGGGCGGGGCGAGCGGCGGCCGUGACCAUGGCGCCCCCUGGCGGGCGCGGCGCGAAAAAGAGGGCGCCUCCCGGCUCCGCUACAGCGGCCGUGCGGGGGAGGUGGCGGGGGGUGGGCGAGGGGACUCCCGAGAGGCCUUUCCUCAGCCCCGUUAUUACACAAGGAACUGCCUGGGGAACGGCGGGGCCUCUAGGCAGUGGAAGCUGUGCUGAGGGCCACACUCGAGGCUGGUGGUGUUGUGCUAGAUUUAAUUUAUAAAAUCGUACCUUCAGCCUUUGUCUGGGAAGUCAGCAAACAGGGCUUGAGGGGCAGCUGAUUUAGUUACAGCCAUGCAGGAAGGGCUUUCACCAUACUUUAACCAUACGGUCGCACACUGUGAAGGCCAGCAGCACGACUGCAAGCACAGUGGUCCUUUUGAAGGCACGUUUCUGAGGGCUCAGAAAAUAACGCAGUUCAUUACUGUUGAUGUGAUUUAGCAAUCGAAACAAGAUUUUAGCAUCUCUCGGGUUUGUUCUGUACUGCUUACCCCAGCUAUAGGAACCUGGGUUUCCUCCAAGACUGGUUUGGAUGAAGUCCCCAUAAAUUAGCUACAGCCAUCCAGCUGGGUGGAUGCCCGCAUAUUUCUGUUCGUGGCAAGGUUUCCUAUGCAAAUACUGGGAAAAUGAAAAACACACUUUCCCUAGUGCCCAGCGGAGGGCAGUAACACAAAUCUGUGAAGUGCCAAGACAAAAAAACGAUCCCAAACCAACCCCCCUCCAAAAUAAAACAACAAUCCCAAACGAGACAAAACCCAAGAACAUAAAAGCACAGUGUCUUCUUCAUGUUUUGACUCAUUUCUCCUCCACAAAGAACGGCACAGGACAACCACACAGCUAAAAAGGCAAGACAGUGAAAGAGCAAAAUAUCUGAGGAGGAUCCCCUUUGAAGUCAUAGAUACAGUUCAAAGCUGUAGGCUCCAAAAGGUUUCAUCAAUGCUUUAGAAGGAAAAUUCAUCUCCCUUUUGAAUCUGCCACAUUCCUGAGAUCUUCAGACAGAUCAGGGUCAGCUUUUAAUCACUCAGAACUCACUCUAAUUGGGAACAGAAGGAAGCCCAGGUAGAAGUUGGAAGUAACUUCCUGGUUUAAACAGGCAACACAGGUGAUGCUCUUUUCAAUCAGCUGAAAUAAGAAUGGGGUAAAGUGUUCAGUUAAACACAUAGCACAUGGUAACUUUUACCCACCUUUGGCAGCCAGAAGCAGGCAGCUGUUGGGAUGGGAGGCACUUCAGCUUUGACCUGGCAAGCUGCAGAGCUAGAAUAUCUUGUCAUACAGCCAAGGGGUGACAAAUCCAGGCAUCUUAGCUCUUUGUACGAGGACUCCUCCUUUCCUUUCUGAAAGGCCCCGACCUGACCCACGUUUCACAGAGAAAGCAAGGGAGCUGUGGAGCGUAUAGGUUUCAGGGCAUCCCUUAAGGUCUGCACCCAGAGGACAACAACAAAACUGAUCAAAGACAGUGCUUCUUUAUACUCUGUCAUCUCAGUCAGUUAUUGGAUAUGUGAGGCAUACAGAACAGAUAUAAGUCCUGAUGAAGAUCCUCCUCUUUCAACAUCAGGUUUUGCUGAGAAUGGAUGGGGUGAAAUCUGAGAGAUAAAUGCUCUCUCAGGUUGCCUUUCACUUUUACUGACAAAGGCCUCUCCAUAUCAGAGCUUAAUCUGUGCUUUGAAAUAAUUGAGUGAACCAAAGAUGCGUAGUGGUGACCUGAUUACAUCUUGAUGCAUCCCUCGUGCCUCCCCAAAAGUCAAAUCCUCAGCAAGAGAACUCAAAUCCCUCCCACAGUAACCAUUUGUUAGAUGUUGAAGGCUAAAAUAAAGCAUUUACCACAGAACUUUUGCAGUUCUAUUACAGGCCCACAUUCUCAUACUUGCGAAUGAAUAACUUCCAAAAUAUGUUUCUCAAUUUUUUAAAGUCAGCACUAGAUACAAGAAGACAACCUAAUUUUUAUUUUUAAGCAUAGUUUUGGUGAUGAAAUAUCCUCACAGUUUUCAAAACCAAAGCAGACUGACUGAGGAGAGGCUUUGCCGCCAUUCCGCUGAGGCACUUCAUGCUGCCAGCUCUCCUCUCACAGCUUUGAGACAUCUGUACUAGGCUGCUUAUGCUGAGUAUCAGUGUGUGCAAGAGUGAACACCACGUGCGAUUAUGACCUCUCAUGUAGCUAUACCCAUAAAGAAGGCUAAUUUCAGUAUUUUCCCCACCUCAAUUAACAGAUGUGAGCAUUUUCUAUCUCCUUUCUUCAAGCCUUUCCAAGAAGGCCCAAAGUACCAAACCACACCUCCGCAACUCGAGCUGCUGUAAAUUCUCAUUUCAGAACAGGUGUACCAACCAUAUUAUUUUAAUUUAGUUUUUACUAUGUACAGUAACACUCAACAGUGUGAUAAAAACCCCAAGUAGUAUAUUUUUAAUUAACAGCAUGUGAUACAGACGACGGAGAUAAAUAAAAAGACUUUUUACAGUUUCCCAUGAACAUGAACUACAAUUAAGUGUCACAGGCCAAAAAGUUUGCUUGUUACUGGAGUAGCACAGCAGAAGGGAUUGUUUUUCUUUAAAUGUACUGCAAGACUCUCUCAGUACAACAAUUCAUGCAUCUUACUGCAUAUCUUAAACUUGUUUUGGCCCAUUAUUACUAAAAAUUUCUUGUUUUCUAGCUAUUUUACCACAGGACCUGUAUUACAGAAUGACAUACACACCCCAACAUCCCCCCCCCCCCGCCCCCCAUAGUGGUUAUUUCAAAGAUAACUGUCUUGUUUUAAAAAGGUAUUCAACACUGGUGGGUGUUUAUACUCUCUUUUUUGAUGCAGACACAAACUGCCACUAGCUUCAAUAAAGCAGCAUAAGCAUCAAGAGAAUACAUGCUCCUGGUCUCUGUCUAUGCCAAAUGCCAGCAGAAUCCUGGUCAAGGGAGGCGAUCCCUGAUCCUCUGCUCAGCACUGGGGAGACCAAACCAGCACUGCUGGGCUGCCCAGUAGAAGAGACAUGGACAUACUGGAGCUGGUCCAGUAAAGAGCCAUAAAGACACAGGAUACCUACAGUGUGAGACUGAGAACUGGGACUGUUUAGACUGGUGAAGGGAAAGCUCAAGGGCACCUUGUCAGUAUAUACACAUACCUGACGGAGGGGGGGUAAAGACGACAGGCAAGGCUCUUUUUGGUGCCCUACACAUAAGAACAUUAGGCAAUGAAAUAGAGGGAAUUUCAUUGAAACAUUAAGAAAAAGCUUUUAGUGUGAAUCCUCUUUGAGGUGGCCGGGGCAGCCGGCUCUAGCUGACCCUGCAUCAAACAGGGCAGUCAGACUGGAUGAUCUCUAGAGGUCCCUGACAACCUCAGUUCUGUGCAAUUCUGUGACAACUCUUGCUGUCACUGUACUGGUAGCAGCAACAGCAAUACUUUCAAAACUUCAAGCAUAGGAACCCGGGAUAUCAGGCUGCAGCCCUACGUUGUUCUUUUUCAACAUCCUUUUCUCCAGCAGGCAAAGGAAUUUUGGUAGUGUAUGUGGCUAUUGACAGUUAAAACUUGCAGAGGUGGAAUAGGGGAAAGGGGAGAGAGAGGAUGACGCUCCCAGAUGAUGAAAUUAUAUAUUUAUAUUCACACACACAAAAAAAGACAAAUGUGACCACAGUGGCUGUAAGACAAUAAUUCAUCUCUUUCCUCCCUUCCUCUCACUCCUGCCCCAAAUGAAACAGUAAGACAAGUCAGGACAGCCUGGUACAGUUGAUAAUUUAGACUUUAGAACCCUAUUACUAAAUCCUGGGAAUUGAGCAAGUGUAUACAGACCAAUGAAACAAAGCAAAAUUAGACCAUUCGGUGGAAACAUACACAUCUUGGACCUCAUGGACUGAACUACAGCAGAUGCAAGAGCCUUGAGAGACAGAGCUUCUGCUUGAAUCAGGCUUUCAGUAACUUCAGCAGUACAAUUGUCAAGUUUAACUGGGAGUAAUUCUAAUACUGGAACAGGUUCCUAAUUAAAUUGCUAGUGUUACAUGGAGCUAAAUGGAUCCUAAACUAUUUUAUAGCUACUGGGGAAUUGGCACCAGAACUUCAGAAGUCAAGAUAGUGUAUUUUUUGGCCUUCCUCAUGCUGAAAAAAAAAAUUGUAUCACAUAUAGAAAUGACAGCAAGGACACUUAAGACAUUAAUGCAAAUCAGUAGGAAAGCUAACAGACAAAACAUUGCUUAAAUUAAUCUUCUCUUGCAAAUAUUUUAAGUUGUUCUUAGACUAUGGGCAUGUCCAUUUGCAGGGAGAGGGGUGCUGGAGAAGGAAGGAAUGUGGACAGAGGGGCCCACCUCUGUACUGCGGUCAGGAAAGCUAACACAGCACAUCUUGUACUUUUGAAUUCUGCCUCAUAAAGCUCAGAAGUUAAGAACACUGUACUCUAAAUAGUGCAUUAAGAACAACUGUAUUUCUCCCGAGUGUGGGUUCGCAAGUCUUAAUACCGUGAAAGAGUAGGAAGAGGAAACAUUUAAGAGUUCUCUUUUAGGUAAUAAGCAAUAAACUUGAAGUCCCACAGAUAAAAUGCUACUACAAACCAAAUAACCACAGUUAUGAAUUAGAGAGCUAAAAAGGCUAGUUCAUAAAGAAAGACUAUUUCCAAAUAAAACAGUCAAGGAUUUAAUCAGACAGCUAGUACCCAUUCCUGUCAUUAAAAGAGCACCCUUCUUACUGAAUCAUAAGAACAAGUAGUCAGGGACUUCAAUAUACGCAGAGCCUAAUUCUGAUUUCAUGUACUGUUGCGCAUCUGUUCCUAAUGAAAUCUGUGUUAUAUCUGCACACAGUGAAACCAGAAUUUCCCAAAGACCAGGGCAUCUAGACUUGGUUAGUGUAUGCAAACUGAAAACUUCUGUAUGCAGUUUCCAGUUGGCUUCCCUCAAGAACACAGGUUAAAAACCAACCCACACACCAUCAGCUGCACGGCUAGGUGGUGAGCUACCCACCCAUCAUUUUGGACAGAGAGAACCUUACCCUAAACUGAGACAAAAAGAAAAGAAAAAUUCAUUAUUUGUAUGAAACAUAUAUUACAAAAUUGAAGUGGAAAUUCAACAAACUGCAACGAUAUCUACAGCUACGUAGUAUUAAAAAACAAAUGAAAGCCAAAUAAAACCAACAAUGAAAGUGUGGUGGUUCUUUUCAAAUAAAACUAAAACAAAAAUAAAAAAAAGCAUGGAAAUUAAAAAAAAUCUCAGAAGCAGCAAAUUACAGUUCUCUCUGUAAUACCACACCAUUUUCAUUAACUUGUAAUAUCUUAAAAAUGUCAAAGACAUCAACAGAACAGUAAUUUCAGUGGCUUCAUUUUUGUUUUUUUUUUUUUUUUGAUUGGGCCCAGCCCACGUCUGCAACCUGUACAGACAUGCAAAACAGGAUGAAUUCACAAUUAUUAUUUAGAACAGGUGCUGGAACGCACCAGUUAUUAAAUGACAAGGAACAUGCCAGUUGUAGAAUGACAAAGAAAGUGCCUUCAGGUUGUCAACAAACACGCUACUGACUGCUAAAGGGCUUUUAACACUUUACAUGGAAAGGAAAGCUGAAAAACCAAACCAACCCUCCAGAAGACCAGCAACAGGGUAAGCACAUACAGAGUUCUCUAUGAGCUCGGUCAUUUCUAUAUUGCCUUUAGUAUGCAGACUUAUCUUCUCCACAGGAUACCAAAGCACUGACAAUUUUGGUUUUAUUUAAAUACUUAAAUGCCUUCCUCUCCCCCAAUUUAUACUGAAAGUACGUCUGAAAAAACCUGCAAAUGCACUCCUUCUGAACAGAAACUGUGCAUAAGUCAGAGGUGCUUCUUGAGCUACCUCCAGAAAAGCAAAGAAUUUAUUUUAAGAAAAACUCAUCAGCAGCAACCUGCUUCAAUUGUCAUUAAAUCAAACAUGACUAGCUUCACAGUUGAUGAGGUUAGGCUUUAAAGUGAUAUUUCACUAAUUUCUUCCUAAUGCUUUGCAAUAACACGUACAGCCCAGCCCUGGGCUCCUUGCUCCAGCAGUUUUCCUACAAAGUUUGGCAGGAACAAGGUGUUCAGGUUUAACUCAAGCUCGAUACGAGCUGCUUAGUGCUUUGUGCGUUUGAUACUCAGAAUAAAGGGAACAUCUUCCAAUGCCCAUGAAGUGGGAAUAGUUAAAGAAAGUAGAAAUUCCAAUUCUAAGCAAUCCAAAACAAUCUAGAGCUCAGUUACAGGUGCUUUCACAGUCCAUAAGCAGAUCUUUUUCUGAUACUGAGAAUAGAUGACAUCACCCUAUUUACAUCAACCUAAGUCAAUAGUAACUCCAUUAUCUUCAGUGAAUUUAUAUCAGAGAAAAGUAGCAUAACAAGGUAAGGUAAUUAGUAUUAAAUGCUUUGUAGCUGAAAAACCUUUCCCCCCCCUGAAACACCAGCAGAAUGUUUUCCAAAUGCCCAUCUUGGUUACAGUAGGGACAAUAUCUUAACACCCAUUAUCUUCCCCCUUUAAAAAAAACAACUAUAAUUACCCCGCAUCACAGUAUGUCUAUAUCACUACGUUUCCUUUCUUUUAUUAUUUGAUGUCCAUAUGAACUUCUACAGCUCAUGCACAGCAUUUAGUCGCAGUAAGUUUUGGAAACAGAGCCUGAUUCCUCAUACCUUUCUGUUUGUGCAAAAAGGGUGCAAAACACUGUAUGCUUGAACUGAAAGACAUUUAUACCCAUAUUUACACAAGUAUAUGGUUGAGAAGGGGUAAAGUACAAAAGAAGGUGGGCUCAUAGGAUGCAAGAGAUUUGAGUUCAUCUUUCCAUGUUGGUUGGAAAAGUCCAACCAUCCUCUUAUAUAAAAAAAAGCAAAACGUUUCAGUAUAGAUAAAUAAUAAUAUAGCACCUAAUGUGGCAUUUGUGCAACAAUUUUACUCUGUUAAAUUAAGAGUUAUAGCCAACAGGGUUUCAGAUUUCGCAAACAAAACAGUUGAAACUCAUUGAAACAAAGCUAUGUUUUCAAAGAGCUACACCAUUAGUGUUGACUGCAAAGUAAUAUGUACAAAAGUAAUUUUGCUCUAGAAAAUAUGACCAAGGUUAGCAGGAGUAAAAAUAUUCAUAUGAAAAAAAGGAAUAUGUAACAGUCGAAGAAUAAUGGGAAGUCUGUUGGACUACUCCAAAGGGUUUAGUAGAACUAAGGAAAUAAAACUUCACAUUUCCCACACUAUUCUUGGAACUUCUGUAGUUUUCAAAGACAGCUUCCCCCCAAAACAUUGUCAAGUAUCUAUGUGUACAGUAAUUAACUGUAAGAGCUUGACUAUGAAAGGAUCUUCAAAAACCAAAAUCCUGGCUUUACAAUCCCCAAAGUCUUUCAUAAUGUAAUUGAUUGCACAUUUUUAAUAUAUUACAAUUUGCUAAAUUAAGCCAACCACUCAUUACCUCAUCAGUACAGCCUGCACAAAGUACAGUUUAUUUAUAUACUUAUAUUCUAAUCUAACACCAGCUGUCAGCAUAUUUUAUAUUACAUGUGGUAUUGCACUUUUUGAGUGGCACCUUGGUGUGUGUUUGGAAGUGAAUGAGUUGAAACCCUGAAAGCCCCAGACCUUUGGAAUUCACUUCAAGUGCUGCCAAUCUAGCAAGCUUAAAAUGUUAGGGUAAACGUCACCCUCAGAAUCAUGGGUUUCACUAAUUAAAAAAAGAAACAACCUUUUUAGUAGUUAGAAAAACAGUCCUACCUGAAGUUGUGCAUGAGGGCAAUCUGACAUCCUUCUUACUCUGAACAGUUUCAAAAAAAAGUGGUGCCAAUUUGACUGAUUGCACACGUCAUAAUUGUGUUGGAGGACAACAACUAGCUUUACAAAUAUAUAUAUAUUACACACACACAAAACAGACAAAGCUAUAAAGUUUGCUAACUCCACAUGCUUUGAGCUAGCCAACAUAUCUGCUGCAUGUUGAACUGCUUAUUACUGAUCAUAUUGAAAAUCUAAACAACUAUUUCUGAUGUAUUGGUUACUGGAUUAAACAACCACUUCCAGAGCGGAGGAAGAAAGAGGAGAAAUGAUGGACCCAAAAGUUGAGGGUUUAAACAUACGUUCCUUGAAUAGCCAGCAUAUCACUUCAGUAAUGUGAAGAGUUGUCCUAAUUUUUAUUAAUUAUUUUUUUAAAGAGUCUUAGGCCAAGUUCACCUCUGGCAUUAGUGGGUGUGUCUCCCACCACUUCAAUGGCACUUGUGUCCUCUUUCACCAGGGUUGAAUUUGGUCCUAUAACUGGUCACCUUCAGUGACAUUAAGGGAAAUGGGAGCCUUGGACAGAUAGAACUGGGCUGCAAAAUUAAAAGAGUGAAUAUUGGACAAAUCAUGUAAAUAAAGAAUAUAUAUUAAUAAUAGUUCCUAUUAUAUAAAUAGCCUUUAUAAAAAAAUAAUCUUUCAAUAAUUUUAAUAACUCACCUUUUUUUUUUUUAGGUUCUUGGAAAACAUGUAUGAAAAAAAUCUAUUCAGUUCAAGUUAGAUUAAAGCAAACCUAAGAUGAACACUACAAUUCUUUGUUGCACUAAACCCAAUUCUGACCAUUCAGUUUCCAGGUUAGUCAGUUUUGGGGGAUGAUAAGAAAAGUUUUUUUUUGUGAAAGUAUGAAUUGCACCCCUAGAAAUACUGAGCAGAAGAAACACCAUACUGAAUGGGCCUAUUUCCUACUGCUUUCUGAAACUGUGCAGAUGACAGACCCAGAAAUCAAAGGAUCAUCUAAACCCCAUGUAUGUUAAUGCCUCUGAGCACAUUUAAAAGGCACUGUCCUCUCACUAUUUUUAGAUCUUUGAGCUUAAACUCCUUCCCUUCAAACUACACUGCAUUUAAAUAUUAACUACCACUUGAACUUUCUUUCAAUGCUUCUCAGUCCAGCAUAGUCUCUACCUGCUGUACCAGACCUAAGGUAAUAUGUGAUGGACUCUAUAUUCAUGCUGGCACUAUUUUCUUUUUCCUUCUAAUUUAUCCUAUCAAAUGAAAAAAGGAAACAUUCUUCCAAAGUUUACCUUUUUGGGCUUAAGGCAUAACAUGAAGUCACACAUCAUACUAAAGCUUAAUUUUCAAAGUGUACAAUUUUAGUGCUAUCUGAAACCCUGUUUUACAUUGUUUUUCAACAGUUGUCUGAACAGUUUGUCUUUUUUCUUGCCAUAAGUUCUAAUAUCAUUCAUGGUUUGUGCAAUUCCUAUGCAACCAGUCUUUGCUGCUAACAGGUAUUAACAGUGUAGUACCCACAAAGCGGGUUAUUAGUUGUUUUCUUCACUUUCAUUUCAGUUCAAAGCAUGUUGCUUUAUUGUGUGGAAGAUCCAGUCCAUUUUUGUUGUCCAGCCACCAUGGUGAGCAUCAUUCAUUUGCUUCAUGAAGUACUCAAGAGCUUCCUGCUCAGUUUUGUCCAAUGCAAGGGUCUUUCGAAUGUAUGCAAUAUCGUCAAAGGACUGCAGUUCUGGCAUUCCUGAGCCAAGCAUCAUGGAGAAGAGAUUUAUGAACAGAUUGGCAUGCUGCCGAAUUGCUAGAUAUGCCUUAUAACACAUCUCUUGAAACCUAGAGGAGAUAGGGAAGAAAAACCACAUCCACAGAUAGACAACACUCAGUAUAUUGCUUUGUUAGAUGCAUUUCUUUUUCACCUCUGAAAAAGGUUUCAAGCAACUAUAUCCAGAUAAAAGGUAGACAUAAUUUAACAAAGCCAUACAAAUGUUAAGAAAGACAUCCUUAUCUUCCUACAAAGAUUAUUUUAAUUGCUGUAAGACUUAGUAGUGGUCAGACUGGCACAAUAGCCAAAUUAAAAUUUCUAGCCUCAAUUCUCAAUUUAUGCAAACAUUCAACAACUCUAAGGGAGUAGACAGAGCCAUUUUACUUAUUUGUGCCAACAGUUCAGAUCAUAAAGCUAGUUUCCUGAUCAACUGCUGCAAGCAGUGCUUGCCUGGUGAUGAUCAGAGAGAGAUACACUUCUGUCCCACACUUUUAUGAAAUUACUGUUCAUCAUUAGCUACUCUUCAGAAUGCACUAAACACAGGAGCAUUUGCUCUACUACAGGAUUGAGUGAGAAACAUCUGUUCACAUGAAACAAUUAUAGUAGUACUUUUCAGUUAAUAAUUAAACGGUCACCAGAAUUGCGUUUUAUGUAUUAAAUACUCUGGAAUUUAAAUGGUUUCAGAAAGGUACUUACCUUUCAAACUCCCUUGUUUUGGUACAUUCUUGGGCUCCUUUACUAAUCACUAUUAAAAAGUCCUGUGUUAAGACAAAGGGCACACGCUCUCUUUUGUAGCCAAAUUUCUUCUUCUUGUGGUCAAGGAAGUGGCCAAAGUCAAUAUGAAACAGCUUGGAAAGACAAAAAGGUAUUUUAAGAGUAAUUCCUUGCUUAAAGGAUGUAAUUGUUAAAUUGCUCAUUCCUCCUACUUCAUAUUAUUUUUUUAAACAAAUUCCCAUCAAACUGAAAGGCUAUAUUAGGCUAUGUACUUGCAAAAAUAGAUCUUACUUGUCCAUCAUCUUUCACCAUGAUGUUACUGUUGUGGCGAUCACCAAUGCCCAGUAUAAAGGUAGCGACACAGUAGCCAGCACAAGAACGUGUAAACAAGUCAAUAGCUGCAUCAUACCUAGUGAAAACAAAGAAAGCAUAUUGCUACAGAUACUCUAAUACAAAAUUGUCAAUUUAUUUAUUUAAGAAGUAUGAACCACUUUCACUAUCUUCACUCAAUGAAGUAGAGUUCCUAGACUUUACUGAAGGAAGAAAUUCAGCAUACACUGGAAAUAGAAGUACUUACAGUUAAGCAUAUGGAACAGUAAACAAGACAUUUAAAAUGACUGUCUCGUAAAGACAGGCAUGAGUUUUCACUUGGAGGAGCUACAGUUAAGCCAUGUUGCCUUAAUUCUUCUGCCUUCAACUUGCUUAACUGUUGACUACAGUUAACUACUCAAACUCAUUAAAUAUAAAGAAAAUACAAACAGGACUACUAGGCAAACGAGAUCAGGGAAAAAUACAGACUAUUUCCCACUUGGGAAAUUCUAGUUCUCUUGAAGCUUCCAUCAAAAAGAGAAAGCAAACAAGGAAAACCCAGCAAUAAGAAAUCUCACAUUUCUCCUUUGUUCUUGUCCUUGAGCCACUGAUGCAAUGUAUGGCUGUUGAACUGCAAUGCUCCCUUUAAGCCUCCUUUACACUGAAUCUGCAUGAUUGUAUGAGAACUUCUCACUACCUCAAUGAGUCCCACACAGUCACCAAUAGACAAACAACCGUAAGGCAACAUCCUGUAAGAGAAAGGAUUUUUUUUUUAAUAAGACAUUUUAAGACAGCAAGCAAAAGGCAUUGUCUUAUGAUCUUGACUAGUCAAGUGUUACGUUACUGACUUUAGGAUAUGAAAAUCUGAUUUAAUGUUUUACAGGUGUACUGUGUAUUGUCAUUGGUUUUGUGAAAAAAGCAUACCUGUAACGUGCCAAACACUAUCCACCAGUGCUGCUCUUCAGUUUUGUAUCAGGAUAAAACUUUUCCUUAAACUUUUAUCGAUGCAUUUUUGAAGGCUUUGGGAAUCCAUUGGAGGAGCCUCUUAAGAAGGCAUGCAGGAUAAUUUAACAAUAUCUAUUCAACUAUAUUAAAACUGAAAUACUAGAGUCAGAAUCUAAGCAUUCAGAAAGUAAAUUUUAGGACUUAUGAAUUCCCAUGCAGAAGUAGCAGGUAAUACAGUGUGUUGUCAGAAUGGAAUGUUCAAAAUGAGUUUUCAAGUAGCGCCUGAACAUAAUACAAAAUUUUAAUUGGAAUCUAUAGUCAGCAACAUUAUUAUUCAUCCAGAUAUUAAUGGACUAACUAUACCCAGAAGGCCAUUUACUCAUGCGCUCUUUAAAGUUCAUAAAUUAUUCUGUAAUCUGUAAAUGAAACUCAAAGGAUAGACUCAGUAACCCAUUUUUCUCUUUACAAGUAGAAUAAAUUAUUUCUUGUCUCCCCCCUUUUUCCCCUCCCCACAGUUUUCUGCCUCUACCCUCACCAAAUCUGCAUUUCUUCUGUUACAUUUGAAACAUUUUUUUUUCUGAGAGAAUAAAAGACUGCUUUGACUUCAAAUACUGAAAAAAACCAUUAUCAUGUUUAACAGCCUCUCUUAAAAGAUUUUGGAGAGAGUCAUGCUUCUAAGGAAACCCUUUUCUCUCCUGAACUUUCUUUCCUUAUGAGGGCAAAAGGGUCUCACUAAUAGGUGAAAACAGCCUUCUAGCUACACUGGAACAAAGAUUUUUUUUUUUUUUUUGAGGUUUUUGUUGAUAAAAAAUAACACAACAGAACCACAAAAAUCAGGAAGACUUUGUUUGAUCUAAGAAACUGGAACACCAGUGCAGUGAGUAACCAGCAGUAGAGCUAACUGCUGGUGUUGCCAUGGAGGUGAGCUUUGCUCUGGAUUAAAAGUUUAUUUGCUGAAGACUAUAAGUAUGGUAACCUGUUCAAAGCAAAUGCUACAGAUACCAUUAGCAGACUAUAGGGUGUCUUGUUUGCGUGAUGUCUGGUAGCCAUUCCUGGUAUGUAGAUUCCUCACAGCAACUUGAAUGAGACAGAAAUGUUUUUCAAAUAGGAUUGUUAACCUUACAGAAUCCAGUUGUUUAGCUAACUGAAAGUUAUAAAAAAAUCCUCUUAAAAAUAUGCAAAAGCAUUCCUAGUUAAUACAUUCUACUUACUACCUUUGGGUAGUACAGAAGUAAUCUCUAGUAACAAACCAAAGCAUAAACCAUUAGGAACAGAAUUGCUUAAGAAUGACCUCUAAUGCUUACCGAAGAUCAAGACCUUGGUUUUGCCAGAUGUUUUCCAUAAUUCUAAUUAUCUGAAGUGUCAGCAUGUCUUGACGCAAGUCUGGAAUAAUCAAAUAGAUAAGACAGCAAGUUUCAUGACACAGAAUACUGUCACAUCUUAUUUCUUUUAGAAAUACUUUUGAGUGGUAAAGUAAAAUAAGGUUUGUAGAGAUUAAUGUAGGUUUGGUUCUCUUGAGAAAAAGAACAACUUGUAGGUAGGUGAGAAUGAAUAUAAACUCGUGGCGGUGAUUUUAAAGCUGUUUAAAAAUAUAUAUUAAAACAUAACAAUGGAAUUGUCAUGUGAACCUUACCAUCUCCAUUUUUAAAGAUUAUCUCAUUGUUCUGAAAUAGCAAUUCAGACAUAAUAUCUGGGUUUUCCCAGUUUAACCACAGGGGCCUUUUUGCAGAUGACAUUAUUCUGCACUCCUCAAGCCUAUAAAAAAGAAGAUAUAUAUGAAAUAGGGAUAUUUAGAUUCUCAUGUCAUGUUUCCAUAAUACUGUUACACUCUCAAUUUUCUUCAAAAUAUUUGAACUAAUAUCAAAUUAAGUAUGCAUGGAUCACUGAAAAUCAACCACUGUUCUCAUCUUGAAAUUUACAUUAGUAACUGCAAUGCUAAUCAUUGGCCAACCCCAAGUGAAGAGUUAGCUACACUAAUUUUUCCUUUGGCAGUGUGUGUUCCUUACACACGGAAAAAGGGCCGCAGUUCCUACCAUCUAACAGGAACAGCAAACUAUUGUGUUGUUCUAACUUAUUAAAUCAUUACACUGAAACUACUUCACUUAAAUAAACCCAGUAUUUAGUAUGUUAACAUUCAAUUGUAAUGUCGCUGAUGUUAACAUUACUAAGCAUUUACUUAGUCAUCUGGACAAAUUUCAGAACUGAAGACAAUACCGAAGAUUUCCCAGUUGAUGAGCAGGAUUAAGAGGAGAGAUAAAGCCUUGUAAAGCAUCCAUAAAAUCUGGACGUCUCAUUUGUUCAACAAGAAACUUCAUCUGCACCUAAAAAACAAUUACAUUCAGGUUAUAAGAACACUGACUAAAUGUAAAUGAAGAUAAGCACCAGCUUUCAGCUUUUGUUUUAAGCAUGGUUUUGCACAGUUCCACCAUCAGCAACUCUGCUUCGCCACAGGUUACAUAAAUCAAAGCUCUCAACUCAGGUUCUAUUAGCUUAAGAGACAGACAAUAGCAAUGUGCACACAAAAUACUACAGCUUCCUAGAUACUACCUACUGAAGUUAGUAGUAUAAAUACAUUUCUAGUUAAUCCAGUAAUAUAAUUCUAGUGAUUCCUAUGACUAAAUAGCAAAAGUUUUGAUGUGUGGACAGCUUAAAAUACCUUCUGGGUCUCAUCUUUCUUUUCCUGCUUGAGAAUAUCUGUGAGGUUAAUCAACUUCUCCAUAGCCUCCACCUGCCUGCUCAGAUGCUUUAGGUACAUUCCACAUGCUCGACAAUAGGACUCCAGAAGUAAACCAAACCUCUGACUUACAGUUUUAUUGUGCAUUUCAGACCUACACAGAGAGGAAGAACAGUUAUAGCUUUAAGACAAGACCACUUACAGGUGCCAAAAAUGAAACUAUACCUGUAACAUCUUCCUGAAGGCUGCCUAUGCAUCCUUCCCAGUUAAGUAACUUGGGUUGACCUCCCACAACUCAUCUCAUUUUGACUUAACUGAUCAGAGUUCCUUACCUUUUGCAGCUAAUCCAGCAGUUUUCAGGCUUUUCCUUUUCUCUUGACCCCAUUCCCCUUCUUGCUACAUUCUGUCCUUCUCUAACCCUUAACUUUAUUCAAAAUCCAUGCUUGUCAAAAAAAACUAAGCCUCCAGUUUCAAGUUCCAGCUUUCUAAACAGUCUCAUCUUCUCCUCCUGUCAUCUAGCUAAUCCCAGGCCAGUUAUCUUGUUUGAGAGUAGGUAAGAACUUCACAUAAUUCUCAAAUAUAUCCCCUCAUAUAAAUGAAUCAGCCAAGUGACUCCAUUAUCCUUGGUCAUUAUUAAAACAAGUAGAAAACAAAGAUUCCUUAUUUCUAUGCCUUAUCUUCAGUGUUUCAUCUUAGAACAGCAUUUUCAGAUGAGAUCUGGAUACAACUCAGAACACUGAAGUCUGAGUUAUAUUCAGCCUUCUCAGCAAUAGGAGUUACAAAAACCCAUGGUAUACUUAAAACCAGAAGAACGGGGAUAUUUUGGCUACCAAUCUCUGUAGCCCUUAGUAAGGAUUUAUGAACCCUAAUUUUUCAAAGAUUUCUCUGGUCUAGUUGCAUGGCUUGCUUUAGGCCUCAGCUAUUUGUAAAUGCAUGAAGGUGCUACAGCCUUCUAAAGACAAGACCGCAGAGAUGGGAAUUUUUAAGGAACAUUUUUCCAUAGCUUUCUGGCUUAAUUUCAGAAGUAUCUCAGUUUUGGAAAAAAAAAUUUGCAAGGAAAGACUGGUGGAAGGAUCUAGAACAGAAGUCUAUCAGAAGUUGUAAGCAGCUAAUAAUAGAGGAAGCUUCCAGCAAUCUUAGACUCCCCUGCUUUUAGAGUAACCGCUAUUAGAGGAAAAAAAUCUAAAUGAAGCAGAUGAUAUAAAGAUUCAUCAUCUAUUACUAAUUUGCUUUUAAAACUGUAAGGAGUGAAUUCUACUAUCAAACUAUGCAUUCAAACACUUAAAGUUUGCUUUGUAUUUGUCAAGUGGUAAUAUUCUCCAAAAAGAAAAAAAAAGAAGAGUAUGUAGCAUAUGGAACAUUUUAUAAGCUUGCAGGAAUCUCAUCAUUGCUAUUCAUGAUAUUAUUAAGCUUACUUUAAAUGCCAAAAGAAGAAGUGUCCUAUCCGUUGAUUGGUCAGUGCCUUCUUGAGUAAAAAUCUCACGAGUUGAUUAUCUAAGUACUGCUCAUAUUUCAGAACCUAGUUAAGGACAAAGAGAAAAUAUGAAAAAAAUCAGCUACAGUUAUUUUGGUGAACAGCAAAUAGAUUAAGACAGUUAAAUAGAACAUUAAAUAGAACACAAUUCAAGUUUGAUAUAAAAGAUUUGUAGGCUGCCAGACCUCAGUAUUUUAAUACACUUUAGCAUUUAAGGAAUAUCUGCUAACAGAGCACACAGACUACUUUUAUUUCAGAAACUUACCAUCUGAUGCUUCCCGUACUGUUAUCAAAUAUUUUAGUUUCAGCAUGCUUAACAUUUUAAAAAAGAUGCUUGUGUUUGUGCGUUACCAUAUGCAAGACAGCUGAAACAGUUGCCUGUUCCAGUUGGUAGAACAGUUCCAUAUCUCUGCAGAAUUAUGACAUUUCAUACCAACACCAGAAACCAGAGCACUACAGAAAAGUACCUAUACUUCAUCUUUCAGAGCUCCUCCUAAUGUAAUUUGCAGUGAAAACAGAAUUCUUGUUACCUUUUUUCACAAUGUCUUGACUUCUCUUGUAUAUUAAACCUUGCAUAAUUAUCAAAUGUACAUAAGGCAUCAAGAAUACCAAAAUGUUAUAUACCUGUACUAGCUGGAUUAAGUACUGAGACAAUUUGUCAUCUGUUAAGUACUUCUCUAGACACCGAACUGCAAAAGCUCGCACCAUUGGAUCUGGAUAAUUACAAUCCAAAAGCUCCAUUGCUUGCUCUGGCUUGAUUGGAGGCCAAUCUUUUACCAAACAGUACAUCUGAGCCACUUCAUCUCUAGAAUUCCAUUUAACAGACAGAAGUAAUUUGGGCAGAAUUUCUGGCGUAUUUACACAAUAGUGUCUGUGGCUCCAGAGGAAGUCCUUCUCUUGCUCAGUGAUUUCAGACAAAGGAUCUCGCGUACAUAUGGCUCUCAGUUGCUCCUUGUCACUUUCUCUUAAUUCAUUGUCUCUAGCUAUUCUGUUACUCUGCAGAGAGAAAGCGGUCCAUUAAGCCUCCACACAUCUCACUCUACUGUCAUACAACGUAGAAGUACUUUUACAGCACAGGAACAUUUAUACGACACAUAAUACCACUUUGUUGUUUCCUUCUAUUAUAAGUGAGGACUUACAAGUUUAAAAUAGAGAAACUGAAGACUAGGCCUUUGAUUUCUAUAACUGCUUUUAUUCACUGCUGGGACAAGAAGUACAUUUCACCAGUCAGCUUUGUGGAGAAAUAGUAGUAGUUGGCACGUGAUGAACAACAGCCUAGCAUGGCACAAAAAUGAAACAGGUCACUUCUGUCUCCAGCCUUGAGAUUUCUAAGAACUGUUGAAAGGGCUGAAAGAAUCAGAAUUGAAAAAGCAGAGUAUGGAAGGAUGAAGCUAGGUAAGGAAGAACAACCAAUUCUAUUAAUUGGUAUGCCUAAACUGUAGACUUGGGAAAAGUCUUGAGUCUUUAAAUUAGUCUCCAGAAGAAAACGUAAAACAUAUCAACUCAUUUCACAGCCUUAUGUUUAAAUAGAUAGCAUUUUUUUGCUGUACUACUUUUUCUUUUUAUUAAUCUAAAAUGUGCUUUCAAGCAAGCUUCAAACUCCACCAAAAAGGGGAUCUUCAACAAAAUUUUUCUUCACAGAAGAGGGAAGACCAAGACCUACUCAUGUGAUAAGCAGCUACUCAAUCCUUUAAAAUACACAGUAUUUGCGAUCAUAACUAGCCCAUUAAACAACAAAUAAAAAGCAAUAAGCACCUUCACGUUACACAAGAAAGCCUACAAACAUGAAGUUACAAUAAAGAAAAAGAAUCACUGAAUGAAAAUAGUAACUUUUCAGAAGUUAAACUGAGUAGUUCAGACACCUGAAUCAAUUAUUUAAAAAAUAUGCUUAGUUUGCAUAGUAAGACAGUUUCUCUAAGUGUUGGUCAGUAAUAGAUUAAGAAUCUGUCACUAGCAUACUGAGGAAAAAAAACCAAGCCAGCAAAUACUUUGAUAUUUUAGUAGCUAUUCUUGGAAAGCAAGUUCUUCUUACCAGUCCCGCAUAGCUGUAGUUAAAGCCCAGUUCACGUGAGAUCGUCCAAUUGGCAUGUUCUUCAAUCACUGUCAUAUCUGGAAACUUAACAGGAUUGCUAAACCAAUCAAAUUCCAGCUCUAAACAUGGAGUUUCCUAUGUAAAGGGAAUUUAGAUUACUUCUGUUGAAUUAUACUAAUUAGAAUGUAGCAUAUUUUGAAUAUACAUUCCUGAGGAGGCAGUUCACAUGGGCAUACUUACCUUAUUCGGAUUUGAUCCAGUAACACCUAUAGGAUUCAACAAAUCCUCCAGUCCAUGGGGUACUGCCCAAAGAUUCAAAGCCAUUUUCCCAGAUACAAGAGUGUCCGUGUAGUCAAACAUGUUUAUGUUUCCCCAAGCCAAUGGACAGUGCUCCUUAAAGAGGUUAAAAGAGGAUUUUUCAGUUUCAGCUUUUAAUUAUCGCUAAAAAACUUUUAAUUAUCUUCUAAAAAACAUUAAAAAAUAAUAAUAGGGAUUCAGCUUUAAGUACUUACUAGGUUCUUCCCAACCAAACAUUUCUAAUUUCCAUCUGUGCAGUACAGAGAUGUUAUCAAAACCAAGUAAUUCUGAUCUAUCAUAAAAUAAACAGCAGGCUGCUUUCCCUACCUUUAAACUCCAGCUAAUAGUAAACCAGCAGGUCAAGUAAAAAAGAUAAAAAUCACAUUGACAAUGAAAGGCAUGCUUUGAGUGGACUCCUUUGCUACUUCUUCGAGCAGUUUAGGACGGGGAAAGACAGAAACAGAAACUGGACUUCAGAAAACAGUGAAGUACAUAACCUUGCUAUUAUGAAUACCACUUCGCUUGGGCAAUUGAAGCUGGCAGUGAGCAAACAAUUAGAGAAGUAUCAUUAUAUCAGAAAUUGCUUUGUGUUUCUUUUGGCAACAGUUGCUCAGGUCCACUUUUCUCUGAUAAGUCACAUAUCUAGCACAACACUUCAUUGUUGUGGAACCACUGAAAUUGAUCUCUGACAUCAAAUCUCUGAUUGUGAGUCACAAGAAAUAACAUUUUUAUCUAAAAGCAACUUGUUACAUUUCCAGAUUAGCAUAAUGAAAGUUGAAGUUAUUUUUUUCUUCUUAUGUACUCAGACCUCAAAAGACUACCACUGAUCUUUCCGACCAGCAACAUAGUACUGAUAAGAUUUAGUGUUGAAUGGGCAAGCUUCUUUUUCUGGUUUAAAAUAAUACUGACAAAUGAAUGAUACAUAAGAAAAAUCCCUAUUUUAAUCAGAUUCAAAUCAAACAUUACAUUGAGACUAAUUACCAGAACAGCAAUUGCCAAGUAUCUUCCCAAACUUUACUUGAGUAACCUCUGCUUGUUAGUUAACUGAAGCUAUGAAGCAUUUUACCUCUUUAGCACCCUUCCGGCCUUUAACAGAACAGAUAGAGAGGCAGAGCCGAGCAGCACGUGGAAGAUCAGGAAUGUACAUGUCAUACGACAGCCAUUCAUUCCAUCUGAAACAUUUAAAAAGCACAUUAAAAUCAGGUUAAAAGAGACUGUGUAAGACAGCUGCAUGCAAUCAACUGUUAUACUAAAAACAAUGUCAUAUCCCUAAAAAUAAUAAUGUUAAUGGCUUAAAGUAAAAAACAAAUUGUAAGAUGAAAAUGUUACAUAGAAAUCCAAUAUUUCUAAUGUCUGGCCACAUUUUUUUGUGCACAGUAAACACUAUACAGAAUAGCAAUUUUAUUUUUGCUAAUAUAUUAUGCUUGGUAUAAUUAGAACUUGAUUGUAGAAAAAUGUAUUUUAACUGCAGUUUACAGAGCUAAGCAAGAAAAUUAUAUAUUGCAAACCCUUUCCCUAAACUUGAGGGGAAUUGUUGAAUAUAUGGAUGAGAUUCCUCAGCAACAGAGAUACAAAAUAACACUGCUAUAGCUGCAUAAAGAAAGGAAAACCAAAAUUGCUAGCAGCAAUUGGACACUUUCCAAACGCUUGCUUAAUUCUACUUGACUCUAUUAACUGUGUUACUUUUAAACAGUAAGUAAAUGCAACAGGAAGCAAUUAACAGUUAAAAUGCAAGGAACUGCAAAAUCACAGCAGACUGAAACAUGUUACCUCUUUAAAUGACUGUAUUGUAUCACUAAUUGGAAGAUAGUCUCAUUUAGUUGUGAAAGGUUUCCCUCAAAUCCUUUGUACAGAAUGACAGGUUUGCUAUCCCACAAGGUUGUAAAACAUUAGCAAAACAGCACUCCAGAGAAGGAAAUACACAUUUUUUUCCACUGCAGUUAUUCCUUAAGCACUCCAGAGCCUUGUGCAUAGUCACAGUUUCUCCUAUUUCAUUACCUUCUGGUCUCUCCAUCAUUAUAAAGUAGUUUGAACCAUAAAAAAAUAAAACAAGUGUUUUCAUUCUGCUCUCAGAUCUGUAGUUCUAUGAUAAGACUGUUGAAAUAACUCAGAUAUCACUCUGUUUACCAUAGUAAUAAGAGCAGAGAUUAGUUCUAGAGGAAUAUAUGUUCACAAACUUCAUUAAGGAGGACUUCUCUCUCAACACGCACAACUGUGCUUUUAAACUGCUAAAUACAGUUAUUUUCUCAGUUGGAAGCAGCAGCAGCUUCCAAGGACACCGUUAAUUUUGUCACAUUUCUGUAGCUACUAAAAGCAGUAUUUUGCAUUGAAAUAACCGCCCCAAACCCUUCCCUAAAAAUAAAGAGAUUCGCAAAUAAAAUUUAAGUCACCUUUCUUAUGUGUUAAUUUCAUAUAAUAUAUAUCUGUGUGUGACAAUAUCCAUGUUUUCCAACUAUGUCCUUCACCAUCUUUCCCACAAGAUUUUCCCUCAAAAACAGCUACACUUGAACAGACAGCUUAACCAUCUGUGGGAUAAGCAGGAGGGACAAGCUAUUUUUUCUAAAACCUGCAUAUAUCAUUAUGCCCUCAAAUGUUAAUACCUAAUCGUACUUACAGAAAACACUCUGAAACUUUCAAAGACAUGAAGGCAGACAGAAAAUGCAAGUCAGGACUUAUUUUUGAACACACACAUCACAUCUAAUCCUAGCAGAUGCUAGCAUUUCACACCUCCUUAUCCAGAGUUACGGGCAAAAAUUCAAUCUCUUCAAGAUAUUUGUUCUCAGUAUGCUCAUAUAUGCUCAUAUAAAGCUUCUUUUUGCACAUUAAUAGCACUUUAAAGUCUACGUAAUUUAUUUAUUUAUUUUUAGAUAACAUUCACAGGAGGUCAAAAUCUCCUGGAAACAAUCAGCCCAGACCUGGCAGUCACUUCCACAUUACCAAAUGAUUCCCACCAGUGUUUCUGCUUUAGCACAUGCUCUGCAACUGCACUGGAACAAAUCUGUGGACUGCAUUACAUUACAUUGCCUCUUGCUGAUGUUGGAAUCUGAACCUGCAACUGCAACUCCAGCUAUAGAUCCAAAGUGAAAAACGGAGCUUGACAGUCCAGAGCUGUGCUGACUUCAUGGUACUAAAGACUAAUUACAUAGGAGUUUCAGAGGCAAUUGUGAAUGCAUAUGUAAAACAGACCUGGUCAGUACAGGAACUACACCAAUACACAUAACAUUACAGGACAAAAUACUUGGGUUUGAAUUAAUUUAAUUUUAUGUUCUUUCAGCUGAAGUACUGCCAGCAACGAGAUAUACCUGAAUAAUGCUAAGUAGUGCCUUUACUUCUUCAAUACUGUAAUUCGUAAUGCCCCAAAAGUCAGCUUCUCUAUAGUUUUUCUAGUAUCUUACCUGGGAUUAGAACAAGGUACCCUCUGAGUAUUCACAUUGUCACAUAAAGGUUCUCCUCCAUGGUAGAUACCUGUUCUAACGUAGAUCUGAAAGUAACGUUAACAUUAGUACUAUUUUUGAAAUGCCACUAUAAACAAAGUUCUCAUUCCUAUCAACAUACAGUAUGAUUACAAGAUACUGCUUUCUCUUUUCUAUUAAAGCACCCAUCAAUACUUCACUCCCAACAAACAAAUAAAAACCAAACAGUUCCACCAGCACUCCUCAACCCAAAUUUAUUCAUGCUCUACAAAUACAUAAGUAUACUCUUAUAGGAAAAAAAAAAGGUUCUGAUCUUUUUCCUCAUUACUGUUGUAGAAGUACUUCUUAAAAAUACACUAAUGAACUCGAAAGGAACUUCUAAAAACAAUUUGGAAUGACCAAUUCUUUGUGAGCCAAACCACAGAAAGAAAAAAGACCAAAUAAAUUCUGAGUGAGGUAGAGACUUGCCAUAUGACUUCAGCAGGAUUAAACUGCACAUGCCUUUUCUCACUGAUCUUCCCAUGCCUCCCUUUCUAAAAACAAAGAUAGCAGCAUGCUAUCCAGCAUCUCUUCAUCAGAUGUAUUCUCAAUUACUGUACAACACUCCUGAAUGUGUUUAUAGUUUAGAACAUGGAAGACAGCACAUCCGUUACAAACUCAGCUGAAAUAAAUUAAGACUGCUCCUUUAGCUGAAUACCACAAUUCAUGCAUUUUUCAGAAGUAUACAAAAACUUGUAGAUUUUAGAACAUGGCUCUAUUUUUCAGAAUUGAGUGCUUAAAAUUUAAGUAACAAAGCAGUCUAAUCUUCUAACGUUAAAUAACACCUCUUUUCUAAUGUAAUUACAGAAAAGAGAGAAACCAUGUGUUGAAAACUACGUAUAAUGCCAUGCAGCAUUUGCCUUACUUUGUCAAUGUCUCUAAUGUUCACAUUUACAUAGGUUGCACAGAGGAUUCUUAUUCUGAGAGCACUGUUUAUAGUCCAGAGGGACUUGGCUGUAGCUUCUCCAUUCAUGUAGGGUGUAGCUGUAGAGAUACGCCUGGAGUAAGAUGGCAUUGUAAAGGUAUCGAGCGGCAGCUGGGUAUAUAGGCUUUCUUUAGCCAUCAGCAUGAGAUUGGGCAUGCGACCAAGCAUUAUACAACUUCUUAUGUACUGUAAGAAAACAAAACCAAAAUUCAGUAUAUUAUCUAAGCCCUUGGUAAUCAGUACCUAAAAGUACUCAGAACAGCAAAAAAAUAAAAGCAUACUUCAAGAGCUCAUGUCUGUUCUUUUAUGUAAAUCCUUCAGUGUUGUUUUUUUUUUUGUUGCAACAUUCAACAGUUCAAAUACAUUACUGGGUAGAAUGGCACAGCAGUACUGCAAACAGAUUUUGAGGUAUGAACACAUCUGCAACAGUUGAAGGCUGAACUGGAGAUACAGAACAGAGCUGACAGAACGACAAGUGUCUUGUAGGGCUCUUAAGCUCAGGCACAGUGCAGAGUAAAGUAGAAUGGUUCCAGAUCAGGGGUGCUCCCGGAAGCAGGUUAGCUAUCUUUUGCCUUGCAUACUGCUGUUAUAAUCUAGUUAUAAUCCAACCUAGUACAUGUGCCUCUAACACACCUAGCCAGUUAGAAAAAGUACAAGGCAACAUGCAGAACUGUUCAUUUUUGAUUCAGACACGCUUAUCAGCUUCACCUCAACACUGAUCCUGCCAGACUCAAGCCUGUAUUGUGUCUGCUCAGGAAUGACUGCUGAAAGUAUUUUGUCUGGCAACAGUACUACAAAGCAUUACGAUGGGUUCUGUAUUUAUAAUCUGAGACUGUAAUUAGUAAGCUCUUCUGCGGCACAGAAAGGCAUACCAGAUACUUUUGAAGAAACCACACUAGAUCAAAUAGGUCUAGCGUUUGAUCUCAUGACUGUACACAAUUAUUCACAUAUGCCCGCACUUCUUCCUCAGUUUGCAUAAUGUUAAGAUCCUUUUCCCAGUAUUCAGGAUCCCUCAUCCCCCUUGUGUCCCCCAUUGCUCUGGAGAGCAGACUGUCAACCAUUUUAGAUGGAAGAAUGGGAGCUGUUAUUACAACAGCACGUUUCUCAGAGAGGAAGCAACAGCAGUCUGUCAGGAAAUAUACAGGGUAGCAUUGUUGUCUACUUCAGAGAGGACUGCUCUGAGGCUCUUCUGCCAGUUCUAUUAGAGGUACAACAGUAAGAGAACAAAGACACUGAAGGAUGGAUAGCAACAAGGAAGAUUUAACUGAUAAAUACAGUACUGGAAGUUUACCACUCCCCUUUCAUAAGAUCAAGAAGUUUACUGAUGUAAUUAACAGUAAGCCAAGAGAGCUUGCUUAUUUUUUUCCCCAACCCCUAAAGCAGGAAGAGAGAAGAUUCACAGAAGUAAUGGUUGCCUCAAAACUCAACACCCGAUCUGAUUUCUUUUUGAACUGCAUCAGCCCCAUUCAAAUGUUAUUCAUCUCUUGCCAUCAGAAAUGUAGAAUACUUCUCAGAGAACCUACCACCGAUUUAUCACUCGUGUUAGAGCGAAACUCCUACUGCAUUGUUAAAAAGCUGAAUGGGUGAUGUAAAUUCUACUUUAAAUUACCUUCCCUGGCCACAUUUUGAAGCACAUACAGCAACAAAUACACGCUGGAAUCAGAUACAUAUAAGCCAGUUACCUUAAAGAAAUAUAUUUGUACUUUCUUUGUUUUUGAAUGUAAAUAAUGAGACUGAUCACUUUUCUCCCACACAUAUUAGGAUUUUUUCAGAGUACUUCAAAAUAAAUUCAUUAUAUUACUCACCUUAUACUGGCUCAGUGGAUAUUUUUCUAGCAAGUAUUCAUCACAGCCGCACACUUUCAGAAUAUACUUGCCCUGGUACUCCAACACGCAAAGCUUCAGUUGUUCAGAUGACAGCAACAUACUUCGUGUUUUCUUCCUAAUUGCUUCAGCAAUAACUUGCUCAGGCACACAGUCAUGAUUGAUUUUUAAGGUGUACUUCUGCUUAUCGUUGUUAGGUGAAACUAUUACCCAUAUCACCACUAUUAUUUGCC